GGCGCUAUAGCCAAGUGGUUACGGCGACAGAUUAGAAUUCGCAUUCGAGUCUCCUUUCAUCUGUUCCUCUUUGAGGGCGCAGGUUCAAAUCCUGCUGGCGUCG